AGUACCUGGCUUGAUGGCCGCAGACAGGUCCCACCUAUCUCUAAGGGGAAAACGGAUGCUAGCCCAGGAGCUGGCAGGGCUCAUGGAGAGGGCUUUAAACUAGGUAAGAAGGGGAACCGUGUGGGAAUAAGGCUCGUUAGAGGUGUGCCAGGGAGAACAAUGUCAGGGUCAGGGGAGCAGGCAAUGGCCCAUCUGAAGUGCAUCUACACUAAUGCACGCAGCAUGGGCAACAAACAGGAGGAGUUGGAAGCCAUUGUGCAGCAGGCUAGCUAUGACUUGGUUGCAAUCACUGAAAUGUGGUGGGACCACUCUCAUGACUGGAGUGCCGCAAUGACUGGUUAUAGGCUCUUCAGAAGGGACAGGCAGCACAGAAGGGGUGGUGGUGUGGCUCUCUAUAUCAGAGAAUGUUUUGAUGUUGUGGAACUUGAGGCUGGGACUGGUAAGGUUGAGUCCCUAUGGGUUAGGAUCAGUGGGAAGGCCAACAAGGCAAGCAUCCUGGUGGGGGUCUGUUAUGGACUGCCAAACCAGGAUGAGGAGACAGAUGAGGAAUUCUACAGGCAGCUGGCAAAAGUUGCAAAAUCGUCAGCGCUUAUUCUCAUGGGGGACUUCAACUUCCCAGACAUACCCUGGAGAUGCAAUACAGCCCAGAGAAAGCAGUCUAGGAGGUUUCUGGAGAGCGUGGAAGAUAGCUUCCUGACGCAGCUGGUUAGUGGGCCUACCAGGGGAGGUGCCCCUCUAGACCUUCUGUUCACAAACAGAGGUCUGGUGGGAGAUGUGGUGGUCGGGAGCUAUCUUGGGCAGAGUGACCACGAAAUGGUAGAGUUCUCUAUUCUUGGUGAAGUCAGGAAAGGGAUCAGUAAAACUGCUGUCUUGGACUUCCGAAGGGCAGAAGGACGCUGUUGGCAGAGUCCCUUGGGAGGCAGUUCUGAAGGGCAAAGGAGUCCAGGAAGGCUGGGCACUCCUCAAGAAGGAAAUCUUAAUGGUUCAGGAGUAGUCUGUCCCCACGUGUCCAAAGAUGAGCCAGCAUGGAAGAAGACCGGCCUGGCUGAACAGAGAGUUGUGGCUAGAGCUUAGGAAAAAAAAGAGGGUUUAUGAUCUUUGGAAAAGAGGGCAGGCCACUCAGAAGGAUUAUAAGGAUGUUGUAAGGAUGUGUAGGGAGAAAAUUAGAAAGGCC
rnacentral:lncRNA from 1 species